rfam:Felis catus isolate Cinnamon breed Abyssinian chromosome E1, whole genome shotgun sequence.
GCCUGGGUGGCUCAGUCGGUUGAGCGUCCGACUUCAGCUCAGGUCACGAUCUCACGGUUCGUGAGUUCGAGCCCCGCGUCGGGCU